rnacentral:rRNA from 1 species
CGCAUCUGUGCAUGCAGCAUAUCAAUAAGCGGAGGAAAAGAAACUAACAAGGAUUCCCCUAGUAACGGCGAGUGAAGCGGGAAGAGCUCAAAUUUGAAAUCUUAAAGGGUUUCCCUUUACGAAUUGUAGUUUAAAGAAGUGUUUUCUGUUGAGGUUUUGGUAAAAGUUCUUUGGAAUAGGACAUCAUAGAGGGUGAGAAUCCCGUAUUUGACCUUUACUUUCAACUUUGUGAUACACUUUCAAAGAGUCGGAUUGUUUGGGAAUGCAGUCCAAAAUGGGUGGUAAAUUUCAUCUAAAGCUAAAUAUUGGCGAGAGACCGAUAGCGAACAAGUACCGUGAGGGAAAGAUGAAAAGAACUUUGAAAAGAGAGUUAAACAGUACGUGAAAUUGUCAAAAGGGAAGCGUUUGACACCAGUGUUGUUUUUCUGAAAAUCAAUUAAAGAACUGUUUAUGCUAAGUUGUUUAGACUUUAUCAGCUAAUCUGCUUAGUUUUGAGCUUUUCUUUAAUGCACUUUUCAGUUAACAAGUCAACAUCAAUUUCUUUUGCUGUAAAAAAGCUUGAGGAAGGUGGCUUGAGAUUCGUCUUAAGUGUUUAUAGCCUCUUGCCUAUGCAGUCGGAGAGAUUGAGGUCUGCAGCGUAGAUCCUUCGGGGCUAAAUGCAUUUGUGCUAAGUUAUAGCAUUUUAUAGACAACUUGUUGACUAUGAUUUGUCUUGUAGCUUACUCGCUUAUGUUAUUUUACCUACGCUUAGGAUGUUGAACGCGCACAGAGUCUC